rnacentral:rRNA from 21 species
AUGGCUGUCGUCAGCUCGUGUCGUGAGAUGUUGGGUUAAGUCCCGCAACGAGCGCAACCCACGUCUUUAGUUGCCAGCAUUCAGUUGGGCACUCUAGAGAGACCGCCGGUGAUAAACCGGAGGAAGGUGUGGAUGACGUCAAGUCAUCAUGCCCCUUACAUCCUGGGCUACACACGUACUACAAUGCUACGGACAAAGGGCAGCAAACUCGCGAGAGCUAGCAAAUCCCAUAAACCGUGGCUCAGUUCAGAUCGUAGGCUGCAACUCGCCUACGUGAAGGAGGAAUCGCUAGUAAUCGCAGGUCAGCAUACUGCGGUGAAUACGUUCCCGGGCCUUGUACACACCGCCCGUCACACCAUGGAAGUUGGCCAUGCCCGAAGUCGUUACUCCAACCCGCAAGGGAGGAGGACGCCGAAGGUGGGGCUGAUGACUGGGGUGAAGUCGUAACAAGGUAGCCGUACCGGAAGGUGCGGCUGGAUCACCUCCUAAC